rnacentral:rRNA from 1 species
UACGAAGGGGGGCUAGCGUUGCUCGGAAUCACUGGGCGUAAAGGGCGCGUAGGCGGCCUGCUAAGUCGAACGUGAAAUCCCUGGGCUCAACCCAGGAACUGCGUCCGAUACUGGUUGGCUUGAAUCCGGGAGAGGGAUGUGGAAUUCCAGGUGUAGCGGUGAAAUGCGUAGGAUAUCGUGAGGAACACCGGUGGCGAAGGCGGUGAGCUGGGCAGUAGCUGACACUGAGGCGCGACAGCGUGGGGAGCGAACAGG